GACGAACGCUGGCGGCGUGCUUAACACAUGCAAGUCGAACGGAAAGGCCCUGCUUUUGUGGGGUGCUCGAGUGGCGAACGGGUGAGUAACACGUGAGUAACCUGCCCUUGACUUUGGGAUAACUUCAGGAAACUGGGGCUAAUACCGGAUAGGAGCUCCUGCUGCAUGGUGGGGGUUGGAAAGUUUCGGCGGUUGGGGAUGGACUCGCGGCUUAUCAGCUUGUUGGUGGGGUAGUGGCUUACCAAGGCUUUGACGGGUAGCCGGCCGGAGAGGGUGACCGGCUACAUAGGAGUAUAGCUACGACGAACAAACUGUGGGGAGUAUCUAGAGGAGACUUUGCCGAAAGGGCCGAGAACAUGAAGCACAAUCUCCGCAUCCGGAUGACGGCCUUCGGGUUGUAAACCGCUUUCGCCUGUGACGAAGCGUGAGUGACGGUAAUGGGUAAAGAAGCACCGGCUAACUACGUG
rnacentral:rRNA from 1 species